rnacentral:lncRNA from 1 species
CUUGGUCCCGGAAUACCACUCCCACUUUAUCGGAACUUACUGGGGAGCAGUCGGGACUGCCUUUUGCGGCGAGAUCGUGGAAUCAGCCGAUGCAUAUCUAUUUGCAGGCCCGAUCUUCAAUGACUACAGCUCGGUCGGCUACUCCCUCCUUUUGAAAAAAGAGAAAGCCAUCAUUGUGGAGCCUGAUCGUGUGAUGAUAGCCAAUGGCCCAACAUUUGGUUGUAUUUUAAUGAAGGAUUUUCUUAAAGAACUUGCAAAAAGAUUGAAGAAAAAUACAACAGCUUACGAGAAUUACCAUCGGAUCUAUGUGCCCGACGGCCAGCCAUUGAAAUGCAAGCCCCAUGAGCCGUUGAGAGUCAACAUUAUGUUUCAGCACAUACAGAAGAUGUUGUCAGAGGAGACAGCGGUGAUUGCCGAGACCGGAGACUCGUGGUUCAACUGCCAGAAGUUGAAGCUGCCCAAAGGAUGCGGGUAAGUAGUGGACGUUCGAGAAAUUAUUCAAGAAGACUAAUAGAAUGUCAGUAAUUCAACGAGCUUACAUAUAUGCAUGCAUAUAUGGUAUAUCAUAUAUGAUUG